rnacentral:rRNA from 1 species
AGGUAAUGGCUCACCAAGGCUUACGGGUAGUUGGUCUGAGAGGAUGAUCAGCAACACUGGGACUGAGACACUGCCCAGACUCCUACGGGAGGCUGCAGUCGAGAAUCAUUGUCAAUGCACGAAAGUGUGAACAUGCGACGCCGCGUGGAGGAAGACGGCCUUUGGGUUGUAAACUCCUGUCAGCAGGGAGUAAGGAUGGUUCAUUUAAUACAUGUUCCAUUUGAUAGUACCUGCAGAGGAAGUCACGGCUAACUCUGUGCCAGCAGCCGCGGUAAUACAGAGGUGGCGAACGUUGUUCGGAUUUACUGGGCGUAAAGGGUCCGCAGGCGGCUUGGUGUGUCAGAUGUGAAAGCCCACGGCUUAACCGUGGAAUUGCAUUUGAAACUGCCGAGCUAGAGUACUGGAGGGGAGAAGGGAACACUUGGUGUAGCGGUGAAAUGCGUAGAUAUCAAGUGGAACACCGGUGGCGAAGGCGCUUCUCUGGACAGAUACUGACGCUCACGGACGAAAGUUAGGGUAGCGAAAGGGAUUAGAUACCCCUGUAGUCCUAACCGUAAGCGGUGUGCACUAGGCGUGGGAGGCUUUACCCCCUUCCGUGCCUGAGCUAACGCAUUAAGUGCACCGCCUGGGGAGUACGGUCGCAAGAUUAAAACUCAAAGGAAUUGACGGGGACCCGCACAAGCGGUGGAGCAUGUGGCUUAAUUCGAUGCAACGCGAAGAACCUUACCUGGGCUUGACAUAUAGCUGCAUACGACCCGAAAGGGACGUAGCCUUCGAGGGUGCUAUACAGGUGCUGCAUGGCUGUCGUCAGCUCGUGCCGUGAGGUGUUGGGUUAAGUCCCGCAACGAGCGCAACCCCUGUGUUUAGUUGCCAGCACGUAAUGGUGGGAACUCUAAACAGACUGCUGGUGAAAGCCAGAGGAAGGUGGGGAUGACGUCAAGUCAGUAUGGUCCUUAUGUCCAGGGCUGCACACGUGCUACAAUGGGAUGUACAGCGGGAAGCUAAGCCGCGAGGUGGAGCAAAUCCUCAAAACAUCCCCCAGUUCGGAUUGGAGUCUGAAACUCGACUCCAUGAAGUUGGAAUCGCUAGUAAAGGCGUAUCAGCUACGACGCCUUGAAUACGUUCCCGGGUCUUGUACACACCGCCCGUCACAUCAUGGAAGUGAGUUGCACCCGAAGUUGUUGAUCCAACCCGUCAAGGGAGGAAGGCACCUAAGGUGUGA